AGGAUGAACGCUAGCUACAGGCUUAACACAUGCAAGUCGAGGGGUAGCAGGGUAGCAAUACCGCUGACGACCGGCGCACGGGUGAGUAACACGUAUCCAACCUCCCAUAACUCAGGGAUAGCCUUUCGAAAGAAAGAUUAAUACCUGAUAGUACUUUUUCAAGGCAUCUUGAGAAAGUUAAAGAUUUAUUGGUUAUGGAUGGGGAUGCGUUCCAUUAGAUAGUUGGUGAGGUAACGGCUCACCAAGUCUUCGAUGGAUAGGGGUUCUGAGAGGAAGGUCCCCCACAUUGGUACUGAGACACGGACCAAACUCCUACGGGAGGCAGCAGUGAGGAAUAUUGGUCAAUGGGCGAGAGCCUGAACCAGCCAAGUAGCGUGAAGGAAUGAAGGUCCUAUGGAUUGUAAACUUCUUUUAUAGUAGAAUAAAGUGAUCCACGUGUGGAUUUUUGUAUGUAUACUAUGAAUAAGGAUCGGCUAACUCCGUGCCAGCCGCGGC
rnacentral:rRNA from 1 species